GGAAGCCGGUGCAAUUCCGGCACGGUCGCGCCACUGUGACCGGGGCGGCGUCUCCGACGCGGUUCCGGGAGUCAGAC
rnacentral:ncRNA from 2 species